UUUGUUUAAUGAGUGACGCAAAUGAGGUGAAUUUUUUUUUUUAAUUAUAAUAUAAUAAUUGCCUUGUAUAUGUUUGUAGUACCUGUUUUCCUAGGUAUAAAGUAAUAUGCUAACGCUAAUAUAAUUGAAAUUAAAAUGCAAUAUUAUUGAAUAAUGCAAAUGUAAAUUUUGGCAGAGUCUCCUUUGUCAUUUGGCCUACCCAUAAAAUUGGGAAUGACGGCAUUAUAUUAACAACCUGUCCAAUAAUUUACAUCUCAAUAUCAUAGACAUUAUACUCAUCAUCCCAACACCAAUUAACCAAAUUACUUCAUUUCAAGCCUAUAAUCCAAAACAAGAGUCAAACAUGCGCUAAGUGGUAAAUCUAAAGUUCAACAUUACAUAUAAAAUACUCUGCCCAAAUAUCUCGGAUCUCAUUUAUCUCCUCCUCGGUGUAAGGUGUAGUUCUUGAAAAAUUCUAUCAACACAACAAAUAUACAAGAGGAAAGUUUUAAUUCAAGAUUGUAGCUAACAUCAAAUUGUAUUUCACCACCAAAAACACAAAUUUUGUUUAUAACACCACAAAAUUUAAAAGUUUGAUUAUAACACCACCAAAAAACCAAAAAAAUUGAUUUCACCACCUCUUACUAACGUCAUCCAAAAAACCUUAAUUAGGUCCCACUUAGUAUACGUGUCAAGUAUAUACUGGAUAAAAAAAAACACAAAAAAAAAGAAAAAUCCUAACCCAGCCACCGCACUCACCACCGGCGCCAUUCCACUUGCCCCCACCGCGCUGCUGGUUCCCCUAGCUGGCCACCCUCGACCGACCACCCUUGACCGAUCACCUGAACGAGCACCACGCUGACCCUUAAACACCGUACCCAGCUCAGCCCAGCCCCGAUUCAAUUUGAUUUCUUGAAACGGGUUAGGGUUCAGGUGAGGGAGGUUUGUGGGUAAUGUGGGUUGGGAUUUCGAUUUUCGACGAAAGCUCUAGGUAAGGAAGAAGAUUUUGGCGACGAUGGUGGUGAUGUAGCCGAGGUAGCUAUUGGUGCCGUGAUGUAGGAGUUCGGCGGCGUGGGGUGGUUUUCGGGUUUGGACGUUUGGUCGUAUGAGUUCAGCGGCGUGAGUGGUUUUCGGGGAGGGGGAAGGCGAAAUUCGGCGUUGUGGGGUGGUUUUGGUUGGGGAGAUGGGUGUCGCCGGUUUUGGUUGGGGAGAUAGGUGUCGGCGGCGGCCUGGGUUAUAGUGGUUGCGGCUAAAGCGAGGUGGCGCCGGUGGUGGGGCUAGCCGGGUUAAGGGAUUUUUUUUUCUUUUUAUUAUUUCAUCUUUUUUAAACCUAUAGGUUAUUGACACGUGUCAAUUAUGGGCCCCACUAACGGAUUCCAUCCAAGAAUCCGUUAAGUGGUGGUUAAAUCAAAUUUUGGUGUUUUCUUGUGGUGUUAUAAUCAAAAUUUAUUUUUUUGUGGUGUUAUAAACAAAAUUUGUGUUUUUUUGUGGUGUUAUUUUCUAAAAUUUCCUUUUUUUUUUUCCAAACAAAAAUUAGUAAAGUAUCAACUCUUUAUGGAACAAAAAUUAAGGGACAGAGGAAAUACAAUAUUACUACCAUAACACUGUAAAGAUAACAUGAUAAAAGAACGGUAAAAAGUAAAAUAUACACUUUGUAAAAGUGUGUUUAUAGAUUGAUUAUUGUGAAAUAAAGUUUUCAAAGGCCGGACUAUUAGUUUGGAUGGAACAGAGGACUUAUCUCUUUGCCAUGAUGAGGUUGCAUUGUAUAGUGCCUUUUGAAAUUAUACAACUUUCAAAAGUUCAAAAGUUGGUGGAUCAUAGCAUUAGCAUUAGCGAGGGUGCGAUUCAUUUGCGUAAUCAUAUCGAUUUCAAUAUAUUGUCCAGACGUGAAUCCUCCCGAGCUUGGAUUUGUUAAACUGCUUGUUUCAUACGGAUGGUUGCGAUGGCCCAAGGAUGCUUGUUGAGCCCGGGAACAACCUAGAUUUUACAGGAAUGAUGAGUCAAUCCCGGAAAUACAACCACUUGAAGACAAAUAAAAUCCACAACAUACAAAAUGGAGGAGACUAAAUAUGAAGACAUGACGGGAAAAUGUGGAUGCUACAAUAUGAAGAAUGCUAUCUCAUUCGGCCAUUCCCCAACUAUCUUAUGUAAACAUAGUUACUUAAACAUAUAUUCAAUAAUAUUUUGCUAAUCUAACUUCCUAAUUAUUGAUUGCUUACCAAUCCAUUGAAUGCCAAAUUCAACAUAUUAUAAUGCAAAACAACAACAACAAUAACAACAAAAAAAAAAAAAAAA